GACGAACGCUGGCGGCGUGCCUAAUACAUGCAAGUUGAGCGCUGAAGGUUGGUACUUGUACCAACUGGAUGAGCAGCGAACGGGUGAGUAACGCGUGGGGAAUCUGCCUUUGAGCGGGGGACAACAUUUGGAAACGAAUGCUAAUACCGCAUAAAAACUUUAAACACAAGUUUUAAGUUUGAAAGAUGCAAUUGCAUCACUCAAAGAUGAUCCCGCGUUGUAUUAGCUAGUUGGUGAGUUAAAGGCUCACCAAGGCGAUGAUACAUAGCCGACCUGAGAGGGUGAUCGGCCACAAUGGGACUGAUACACGGCCCAAACUCCUACGGGAGGCAGCAGUAGGGAAUCUUCGGCAAUGGACGAAAGUCUGACCGAGCAACGCCGCGUGAGUGAAGAAGGUUUUCGGAUCGUAAAACUCUGUUGGUAGAGAAGAACGUUGGUGAGAGUGGAAAGCUCAUCAAGUGACGGUAACUACCCAGAAAGGGACGGCUAACUACGUG
rnacentral:rRNA from 1 species